CUGCGCUAGGUCCCUGCAGAAAUGGGGAGGGGAUGAGAUAAAUAGCUGGGAGCUAGAGUUCGCUAGAGGGUCUAAGACUCAACUAAAUGUUUCCCGAUUUCUUGAGAAAGACGGUGGGGGUGGGGGGAGCUAAAACGUUCAUACCGAUCCACCAGGGCAGUGGUUAGGCUUUCUCUUUCUUACCCAGAAUCUUAGCUGGAAAGAAGACUGCAGUCCUGUAGCAGUUGACAGCCAAGGAUCGCAAAGAACUUUAUGCAUCGCUUAUCCUUGUUUUGCAAAAGACCAGUUACCUAAAGCUUCGGCAGCGGGUGGGGGAUAGAUGUCUAAGUACAUUUACACCAUUAGUCGGUUAGAGGGAAACAAAAGACUCAAAACCUGUGGGUUAGCGGUUUCCUCCUCCAUCUAAAGCCCCUUCUCGUCGUAGACUCUCAGCAACGAAAAUUCUUUUAUUUGUCCAGCUCGACAAGGCCAAAGAGACAGGGCCUAAGACCAGUCAGUACUACUCCGAAGGAGGAAUUAAGAAGAUGUGAUCCAAAAGGGGCUCUGCUUGAGCGCCGCUUCCCCUUCCACCCUCUCCAUCGCCCACCUCCACCAGGAAAAUUAUUCUUACCGAAGCUCAUUUUCCAAGGAACAAAUAUUCCAGCAAGAUCCUGAUUUCUGCCAGCUUUCUCUUCUAACUUCCCCUUCCAGAGUUUCCUGCAUUAAACCCUGUAGAAAGCAGAUUGCAAAGGAGAGGCCUACAGAUCUGGGUUUAUCAUUGUUUGGCCUGCAAAUGUUAGCCAGCACAGUUCUUUUUAACAUUGAAUUACUUAAAAACACUUGAUGUAGGAGAUUUUUGCCGCCACCCGCACCCCCACCCACCAACAAGUCUAGAUUUCUGGUGUCUCUUGAAAAUGGUUAGAUCUGGUUACACUGGAUGUGUACUGGUAUAUGGCCACCAUCUGCUGGAACCCAGCACCUGUUAUCUGCAUUUGGACAUGCAUUUUCAGGUUUACCAACGUCUCUGUCACUCUUCUGGGGUUCCAUUUUGCCACUUUAUACACAUUGUCUUCUUGACCUUUGUAAGGAUUUGCCAUCUCAGAACUUUCUCCGGCACUCAAAUUACUGAUCUACUGACUGAUCCUCUUAAUCAUAGAACAUGAGUUAAAAAGAAACAUGUCAUCUCUUGGCUAUAGCAGAAGUUGAGGAAAAGGAUCCAAUGUAAAGAAUAUCAUGAUAUGCAGUUGCCUGGGUGAUAGUACAUAAGGGAUGGAUUGCAAAGUGGCCUGAGGAAUCUUUUGCUGGUUGUGGAAAUGAUAUGUAUCUUGAUUGUGCUAAUACUUUCAUGGGUGUACAUAACUGUCAAAAUGCAAUAAACUGUACAGUUUUAUUAUGCAGUUAACUGUGUGUAAGUUACGUCUCAAAAUAGUGGAUUUUAAACAAAAA
ensembl:lncRNA